GGGGAUAUCUUACUGCAAUUGCCUCUGUUUCUUUAGACUGGCAGGAACGCAGGGGGUCAGCUCUGGCCUGAGGUGGAUGGAAGUUUGUCGGUGCCGUAUGAAAUCGAUUUGACUCUUAAGGGCAGGACUAAAGACAUUCUUGAUGCCUUCGAUAUGAUUUCUGAGAAGACUUGUGUAAAAUUCCAUCGGCAUGCUAAAGAAACCGACUAUUUGCGCUUUGAGGAAGGAAGUGGGUGUGCGUCUUACGUUGGAUGUAUCGGGGGCGAGCAGUCUGUUAUGGUCGGCCCGAAAUGUAAUGUCGGGAACAUCUGCCACGAGAUCAUUCAUUCCCUCGGCUUUCAUCACGAGCAUACCCGAUUCGAUCGUGAUGAUCACGUCAUUAUACUUGAUGAAAACAUCAUCUCCG